rnacentral:lncRNA from 1 species
UCCAGAGGUUUGUUUGUUGAGGUUGAUAUGACCCCUCAACUAAAACCUAACCCUUGUGUGAGCCUCUUGUGUGUAUAUAGUGUGUGCUAUCUGUGAUUGUGAUUGCUUUGCUUCUUAGGCUAGCUUAGACUUGCUUCCUGUGCAAGUUAGGUUUAGUUUAGACUAAUCCUUGUUUGCUUUCGCCCUCGUUGCGAUCCUUUCUCUCGCCCUCGUUGCGAUCGAG